GGAGUUCUUUGAUCGAGCUUAGUGUUAGAUUUUAGAUAUUUUACACAUAGAUUUCAAAAUAAUUUUGAAUUUAAGCAGCGAAAGUCAAGAUUAAAACAGUUUUAAUCCUACAUAUGUACAGAUCAAAAUCUUAUAUCUAUUAAUCUAGUUCAUAUGAUGAUAAAUAAAAUAUAAAGCAUUUGAUUUUAGAUAUUAAAAAUUUAUUUAUGAUCCAAUCACAUACUUGAAUUGCAUAACUCUUCAAAUUCAGAUUUGUAAAUGCCUUCAGGUUUUAAUAUAGCCG
rnacentral:lncRNA from 1 species